CAUAUAUACUUAUAUAAGUAACACACUAUUCUUAAUUCUCUAUCUCUUUUUGUUUCUAACCUCCAAUCAAUACAGCAAAAGGUGGCUCGAUGAAUACACAACAUCCAGUGACUGCAACAAGUGAAGCAAGUAUAGCAUUAGCUAUCUCAUUAGUGUUGUAGUUCUCAUCUCUUUUAUAUAACUGGACCAAUCCUGAGAUUACGACUUGAGUCAGUCCGCCUGAAGCAGCUGCUAGGCUCAUUGUCAGUGCCGUCCCUCCAACAGCUGCAUGAUUGGCCUUACCAGCUAUGGACUCAGUUGAACCACAGUUGAAUGCAAACCUAAUAGUAGUACUUGUUGUUCAGCCUGUGCUGAUUAUUACAGGCAAGUGUUAACAUUUGUAACAGGUGGUGCAUCAGUAGUAGCUUUCAUUGGAUUAGCUCUCAUAGUUCUAAUGACAAUAAUGAAGAAACAACUUAAAGCGUCUCCUCCGUUAAUAAAUCCUCCCACUCCUUCCAUUACGCCUCCUCCUUAUCAGCUACCUAAA